rnacentral:rRNA from 1 species
UACGUAGGGUGCAAGCGUUGUCCGGAAUUAUUGGGCGUAAAGAGCUCGUAGGCGGUUCGUCACGUCGGCUGUGAAAUCCCGAGGCUCAACCUCGGGUCUGCAGUCGAUACGGGCAGACUAGAGGUAUGCAGGGGAGAACGGAAUUCCUGGUGUAGCGGUGAAAUGACGCAGAUAUCAGGAGGAACACCGGUGGCGAAGGCGGUUCUCUGGGCAUGAUCUGACGCUGAGGAGCGAAAGUGUGGGGAGCGAACAGG